CUCCAACAGACAGCAAUUUAUGAUGUGGAAGAUUGAGGCCUGGAGAUAGAAAGCAACUUAAAGCUGGGGAUAUAUAUAUAUAUAUAGGUUGUGUUUGGUUCGCAGGAAUAGGGGUCCGGAAUCGGAUCAUUCCGAUUCUAAAUGUUUGGUUUGGCGGAAUCGAAAUCUUGUUCCCAUUUUAGGCGGAAUGGGAAGGGGGAAUGGCCAUUCCCGACCCCUCCCCAGGGAAUGCGAUUCCCAUUCCGGAUAUGAAUAUCUUUUUUUAUUCUUUUGACAAAAAUGCCGAACAGGGAGAACUCCAUCGCCGAACAGAGAACCGAACCAACCUCCGGCGAGCGGUUUUUCACACCAGAUCCAGGCAACCGUAUACAGCUACAACAAAGGGUGCAGACAAGAAUUUGGUCCAAUUGCAAUCCUUUCUAGUAUAGGGAUCAUUUCAUUAUUUGGAUGGGCAUACAUAUUGGCUCUUACUUUCAGCAUUCAGGUAUUAUUUCUGAACUAAUAUCCAAUUGUUAUUUUCCAUAUCUGAUACAAGAUUGCUAUUUUCAAUCCAGGAUCCAAGCUACUU